rnacentral:tRNA from 1 species
GGCCUUAUAGUCAAUAAUGAUAUUAGACUGCAAUUCUAAAGGGGUAUACAAUUACUAAGGCUU